UGAGUGUGUGAACAAGCACAUGAGCAAAGCAUUGAGUGUGCAAGUGAGAGAUCGAGCACACGAGCAAGGCAUUGAGUGUGAGUGUGAGUGAGAGCAAGUACAGGAGCCCAGUGAAUGCACAGAUGCCUGAACAUGGAAGUGAACCUAUGCCCAAGUGUGCGAGUACCUAAGGGAGCACACGAGUGAAUGUGUAUGUGUGUGAGUACCUGAGCAAGCGCAUGAGUGAGCGUGUGUGUGUGUGUGUGUGUGUGUGUGUGAGUGAGUACCUGAGCAAGCACAUGAGUGAGCGUGUGUGUGUGAGUACCUGA
rnacentral:lncRNA from 1 species